AGCGAACGCUGGCGGCAGGCUUAACACAUGCAAGUCGAGCGGGCAUCUUCGGAUGUCAGCGGCAGACGGGUGAGUAACACGUGGGAACGUACCCUUCGGUUCGGAACAACUCUGGGAAACUGGAGCUAAUACCGGAUACGCCCUUAUGGGGAAAGGUUUACUGCCGAAGGAUCGGCCCGCGUCUGAUUAGCUAGUUGGUGGGGUAACGGCCUACCAAGGCGACGAUCAGUAGCUGGUCUGAGAGGAUGAUCAGCCACACUGGGACUGAGACACGGCCCAGACUCCUACGGGAGGCAGCAGUGGGGAAUAUUGGACCAUGGGCGCAAGCCUGAUCCAGCCAUGCCGCGUGAGUGAUGAAGGCCUUAGGGUUGUAAAGCUCUUUUGUCCGGGACGAUAAUGACGGUACCGGAAGAAUAAGCCCCGGCUAACUUCGUG
rnacentral:rRNA from 1 species